rnacentral:rRNA from 1 species
AGUAAGUUUUAUGAUUAAGCUACUAAGGGCGUACGGUGGAUGCCUUGGCGCCAGAAGGCGAAGAAGGACGUGGCAAGC